rnacentral:rRNA from 13 species
GCUCGAGGCCGGAGAGGAGGCCUCAGAGGAGGGUGCCGCGGCCGAGGGAGGGGGCGGGCUGGAAAGCCUCCCU